AUAGUUUUAAAAAAUUAAUUGAAAGAUUCUACACUUAAUACGUAGAUAUUGAAAGUUAUAAUAUAAAAUGCGGUGGCAAACUUGUAAAUAAGUUAAAAACAUAUUAUUACGUAAAUAUUGAAACCAGUCAUGAUAUCUCUUUAUUUUUACAUUUCCUACCCUAUCUCUAAUUUCACCUUCCUCUCACCCUCGUUCUUCUUCCUCUCUAAACCGCGCAUUCCUCUCGAAAAUCAACCACUCAAUUCCGAAGAAAUUCUUCUUCUUCAUUUUUCUCGGAUAAAAGAAACUCCAUUAAACCUUCCUUCUUUCUUCUUCUCAGAUAGAAGAAACCCUCACUUGGUCGUGUCUCCCCAUCUCACACGGUUCCUUCUUCCUUCUUCGUAGCAAAGAAGGCAUUGAUGAUUUGUUUGAAACCCUAGCCAAGGGCCACUGCAUAUUCCAGGUGCUUCCUCUACCAUUUUCAUUUUUCCUAUGGUCUAUAAUAAUGCCUCUUAUGUUUCUUUUUGCCUUUUUUUUAAAUCCAUUAUGUAGUGCGCUUAUCUUUUCCGGGUGCUACUUUAAUUCAAACUCUUUCUUUAGGGCAUUGAUUGAGGCAUCUGGAUGCCAGAGAAGGCGACAUAGACGAAGAUGCCAACACGGUCCUCCACGAAGGUGCGGAAGGGGGCGGCGUUGGUAUGAGUGCAGAGUCGCCAUGACUCAGAGAGAAGAGGCGUGGAAGAGAUGAACACAACGAGCAUCUGGUGAGACUAACCUAUCACAUGGUAAAUCAUGAGUCAAUUGCUUCAACUUUUCUCGGAAAUUUUUUUAGGUUUUGAUUACUUUUUUUAAUUUUUCUUUUGGAAAAGUUAAGAAAGAGUGAGCAAUUACAGUGAAGCUUCGUUGGAAGCCAUGACCAUGGAAUAAUGGUUUUUUUUUUCAAAGUUUCUUAGGUCGGAGUCUUGCGGAGACUGAAAUUUGGAGAAGUUUGAUCAAAGAACACCUUGAAUCACUGACGGACAUGUCUUCCUUUGGUUGACGUUUAGUAUUUUUGCCACCCUUUCCACAUAUAGUGAUAAAAUCCAUGAAUGAAUGUGGUCCUGAAAGCGUGGCUUGUAUAGGAAGGGGAAUGUUUUUAUCUGCAUCUUCUUAGUGCUGCAAUUUGUAGACUUUGCUUGAAUUGAAUAUUUGGUGUGUGUGGUUAGAAGUGGAAAUGUAGAGGAUUUAACAAUUUUUUUGUUAUGCGUGUCGAACAGAGAAAGUUUGCAUGAAGAUGAGGCCUUUGAUCAACAUCAAAGGCAACUUGCUACUCUUUUGGUGUCAAAGUUCUACCAUCACUACGAGCUUAGAUUUCUGAAAAUGUCAAGGAGUCCAAUGCAAGCGAGUUUCAAGAAGUAUUAAUACUGGGGGCCUUUAUGUUCCAGGGGAACUAUUGUACUACCUUCAACAACCUUGAUGCUUUUAGUUCCUGCUCGGAUUGUUGGAUGUAAAACUGUUGUCCUUGCUACUUCUCCAGCUUAGAAUGGCACUAUAUGCAAGGAGGUAGUGUAUUGUUCAAAGAAGGCAGGGGUUACUGAAAUCCUCAAAGCUGGCAGAGCUCAGGUUUGAAGCAUGAUAAAAUUUCACCCUUGUCUUAUCUGUUUCAAUAGUUUGAAGUUAAUAUCCUUAUGUUUAAUUUAAUUUUAUGUUUGUGUGUUUGUAUUAAUGAUUAAACAAUCAUUAAUUUGACAUUGUUUUACACUAUAAGCCAUAUCUGCCAUGGUUUCAGGAGCUAAAACUUGUCCCAAGGUAGAUCCGUUUUUCUCAUUAUAAUUUCGUUUGUUUUUUUGUUGAAAUUUACGUUGAUUUAUAGUUUAUAGCUAUUAGAUUGAGCUCAUUUCUUUUCUUACUAUUGCAUGUUAUAGUAUGUGGAUUUGAUUUACUUAACUUUUUUUAUAUCUGAUAAGGAGCUGAAACCUCCUGUUAGGAGUGUCUACAGUAAGCAAAAUAGGAGGGACACAAGUGAUGAGACCAUUUAUAAUUGUUACAGAAAUAACUAAUAGCUAGUAUAGUAAGUUGGUUGUUAAUUCCAGAACAUCUGUUAUGACAUUUCUUUAAUGGCUAGUGUUUAUUCUUCAGCUCAUAUAGGUAUUAUUAGUUUGUAACUGUUCAAUGGAAAAUUGUGUGACUGAUAACAUGAGAAAUUAAGAUUUUUUUUUUAUAACAGAUAACUUUAAAAAAAAGUAGAGGAAGAAAAUUAGAGAUGAUUAUAAGACAAGAAAAUUGGAUAAAAGAAAUGGAAUAUGGAGUUAUUUAGUAUGGACAGCAGCAGCAGUACAUAAGAGGAGCAAUAAAUGCCAUUGUCAAAUAACAUAUAACACCAUUAAAGUGUUCAUCUUUUAACUACUGAAAUGUUCCAAAUUUAUGGCAGAAAUUGCAGAAAUUGCAAAAAGGAUUCUAGUUCUAUUUGAACUAGACUAACUAUAUGAAAACUUGGACUCUUUUCUGCAGCAUUUUUUUCUAGUUAGUUAUGGUGUGUUGUAAUAUUUUGCAGGAGAAGAAAUUAAGAUGAAAUAAAUUUUCUUUAAUUUUCGUUAAUAUGUCAAGAUUAAAUUAUGUAGUAGCUAAGAUCAACUUAUGAACAAGUUAAUUUGGAUAACUUGUAUAAAAGUUGAAGUACAAAAUCUAGUUUUAAUUUCUAUAAAAGUUUUUUACGUUUGAUCUUAUUGCUUUCUUAUUACAGCAAUUAAACAUCUUGAAGACAAAGCUGCGCUUAAGAGUUGCUCUGGUUAACGUUUAUGGCAUGAUCCAACAUGCAGCAUCAAUCCUAAACAAUAUGGUAUUUGCAUCACCUCUACAUCGAGAGAAGGAAUGUUACUAUCUACAGACAUGGAAGAAUUAUAAGGAAUUUGUUUUUUUUUUUUAUUUUAAGUGUUGGUAGAAAUUUGUAUAUUAAUGUAAUAUUUGGAUUU